UCCACAGUGGGUGAGAUGGUCCCAGGCAC
rnacentral:piRNA from 1 species